GAGGGACUCGUUGCUAGGGCAGGUGAAGCCGAAUCGCAGAAGGUAAACAUCUUGAGGACUAUUUUCAGAAGGUGAUACAUUCUAGCAGUGACACCGAGACUGUGGUGGGACACAUGACAACUGACUCCUUGGCACAGUGCUUGGAAUUUGCAGUUCGUUCUAAUUUUGCUGCAGGCUUGUUAAGGAGCCCUUCCAUGGCGUCUUGCUCAAUGACAUCUUCAAGGAGGAAGGAGGACUGGUAUGACGUGGGAGCAGAAAUAAAAAGAUGUUGGGAGCAGCAGGUCUGAGACUGUAGCUCUUCAACCUCUCUGCCAGCCUAAGACUCAGACAGGGUGGACCGAGUCCCUCUGUCCUCCGGAGGUGCAGCAGGCAAGGCCCCAGCAGAGACGGGGACUGGAGUGAUGGCCCUGUGUCCCUUUACCAGUGUUUCCCCAAGUCCGGUUUGUGUCGGCCACCUGGGUAGCACCAUUUCCUCUGGCCUGGUGUGUCCUGCCUGGAGCUACACUGCUCUCGUCUGACAACACCUCAGCACCUCCACAAAGACUCCCUAAGACACCACUGACCUGGUUCUAGGUCUUUAUUCUCCUUGACUGCUUCACUUAAAAUCAUUGUCCAAAAUUCUUUUCCUUGAUGUCUUCCAACUCUUAGUUUUUAGUUUCUCUACAUUGGCAUUUUCCAAAUUUUCUUCAAGUCCGUGGUCCAAAAAGAUGAAAUUCAAGAGAAUAUUUAUGGGCAGUUGAUUUUGUCAAACACUGUUCCUCUACAAGACUUGUAAUUCUUAUUAGCAUAUUAAAGUCUCUGAAGUCCAACAUGAAAAGAAACUUGCAUAACUGUGGUGGAUCC
rnacentral:lncRNA from 1 species